AUUGAACGCUGGCGGCAGGCCUAACACAUGCAAGUCGAGCGAGCGGCGGACGGGUGAGUAAUGUCUGGGAAACUGCCUGAUGGAGGGGGAUAACUACUGGAAACGGUAGCUAAUACCGCAUACCAUCAGAUGUGCCCAGAUGGGAGUAACUAGUAGGUGGGGUAACGGCUCACCUAGGCGACGAUCACUAGCUGGUCUGAGAGGAUGACCAGCCACACUGGAAAGUAGACACGGUCCAGGCUCCUACGGGAGGCAGCAGGGGGGAAUAUUGCACAAUGGGCGCAAGCCGGAUGCAGGCAUGCCGCGUGUAUGAAGAAGGCCUUCGGGUUGGAAAGUACUUUCAGCGAGGAAGCGUUACUCGCAGAAGAAGCACCGGCUAACUCCGGGCCAGCCGCCGCGGUAAUAC
rnacentral:rRNA from 1 species